AACGAACGCUGGCGGCAGGCUUAACACAUGCAAGUCGAGCGCCCCGCAAGGGGAGCGGCAGACGGGUGAGUAACGCGUGGGAAUCUACCCAUCUCUACGGAAUAACACAUGGAAACGUGUGCUAAUACCGUAUACGUCCUUCGGGAGAAAGAUUUAUCGGAGAUGGAUGAGCCCGCGUUGGAUUAGCUAGUGGGUGGGGUAAAGGCCUACCAAGGCGACGAUCCAUAGCUGGUCUGAGAGGAUGAUCAGCCACACUGGGACUGAGACACGGCCCAGACUCCUACGGGAGGCAGCAGUGGGGAAUAUUGGACAAUGGGCGCAAGCCUGAUCCAGCCAUGCCGCGUGAGUGAUGAAGGCCCUAGGGUUGUAAAGCUCUUUCACCGGUGAAGAUAAUGACGGUAACCGGAGAAGAAGCCCCGGCUAACUUCGUGCCAGCCGCCGCGGUAAAAC
rnacentral:rRNA from 1 species